ACGGGUGAGUAACACGUGAGUAAUCUGCCCCUGGCUUUGGGAUAGCCACCGGAAACGGUGAUUAAUACCGGAUAUGACCGCUUCACGCAUGUGUGGUGGUGGAAAGUUUUUCGGCCAGGGAUGUGCUCGCGGCCUAUCAGCUUGAUGGUGAGGUAAUGGCUCACCAUGGCUUCGACGGGUAGCCGGCCUGAGAGGGUGACCGGUCACACUGGGACUGAGACACGGCCCAGACUCCUACGGGAGGCAGCAGUGGGGAAUAUUGGACAAUGGGCGGAAGCCUGAUCCAGCAACGCCGCGUGAGGGAUGACGGCCUUCGGGUUGUAAACCUCUUUCGGUGGGGACGAAGCGCAAGUGACGGUACCCACUAAAGAAGCACCGGCCAACUACGUGCCAGCAGCCGCGGUAAUACGUAGGGUGCGAGCGUUGUCCGGAAUUAUUGGGCGUAAAGGGCUCGUAGGCGGUUUGUCGCGUCGGGAGUGAAAACCAGGUGCUUAACACCUGGCUUGCUUUCGAUACGGGCAGACUAGAGGUAUUCAGGGGAGAACGGAAUUCCUGGUGUAGCGGUGAAAUGCGCAGA
rnacentral:rRNA from 1 species